rnacentral:rRNA from 1 species
UCUGGCUCACGAUGAACGCUGACGGGUGCUUACACAUGCAAGUCGAACGGGAACCUUUGGAUUCGUCUGAAGGGGAGAGUGGCGAACGGGUGAGUAACACGUGGGUGACCUGCCUCGAAGACGGGGAUAAGCGACUGGAAACGGUGGCUAAUACCCGAUGGUCUCGAUAAUUCGGUUUAUCGAGUAAAGGCUCCGGCGCUUUGAGAGGGACCUGCGACCCAUCAGCUAGUUGGUAGGGUAAUGGCCUACCAAGGCAAAGACGGGUAGGGGGCGUGAGAGCGUGACCCCCCACACUGGCACUGGGACACGGGCCAGACUCCUACGGGAGGCAGCAGUGAGGAAUAUUGCGCAAUGAGCGAAAGCUAGACGCAGCAACGCCGCGUGGGUGAUGAAGGCCUUCGGGUCGUAAAACCCUUUUCUGGGGGAAGAGUAAGGACGGUUACCCCAGGAAUAAGCCUCGGCUAACUAUGUGCCAGCAGCCGCGGUAAUACAUAGGAGGCAAGCGUAAUCCGGAUUUACUGGGCGUAAAGAGCGUUGAGGCGGCUUCGUAAGUUGGACGUGAAAGCUCCCGGCU